UCCUUUACCAAUUGUGAUCGGGUGGUGAAAUGGAGUAAAAUGAAAGAAAAUAACUUGAUAACUCUUGGUGGAUGCAGUUUUUGAUGGGUUGGUUAUGAUCGAUUGAUGAAGCAAGGAAUAGUAAGGUUUCAGUCGUAAAAUCGAUUGACAUUAUGGGCUGUUUUUGCUUUUUCUUUUGAAAGAAGGAAAUUAGGCUGGGAAUCUGUAGAAAAGAACCAUGCCGGGCGUACGGACAAACGCCGCACUUCCUCAAAUUCAAACGCACUUUUACAAGUGUUUACGCGCAUUGAGGGGGUAAGGUCGGAGGAACUUCUUCGUGGCAUGCUCGUGAGGAGCGGAGGACGAAAGUCCUGCCGGGUGUACCAGAAAUUCGAUUUCAUGGGUUUGUCCUGUGAGAUCUUGAAACGCACCCGAGAAGAUGUCUUUUAGUGCAAUGUGCGGCACCUGACAAAAGUCAGGCAACUCGAUUCCGACUAAUCUUGUCUGUAUGUCUGGUAUGAUUCAUUUCUAUGGGUCGAACAAUAGUUGAUAGGUGUGUAAUAAGAAAUGUUUGGAUAGAAAGAAUACAAUGUUUUGAAUUCA